GUGGCGCGGGAGGAUGUGAGCUCAGACAUUUUGCGAGUGAGUCUCGUCUUGGGGAUUAAGUGGGGCAGCUCGAAAUCUAGGAUGAUAGAAAUGCUUUAACGUUAUCAGUAAAGAUCUCUACAACUUAAAACAAGGGGAGGGUUUCUUUGUUUCAGACGAUAAAAGAUAAAAGAAAAAAAAAUGGUUGAGCCUAGAGUAGUGCUGGAGGUUGAGGACUCAAGUUCAAGGCCAUCCUGGACGCCGUCACACUGUCUCGAAAAUGCCAGUUGGUGCCAAGAGGCCAGGCAUGUGUGCUCUGAGAGACCUCACCAUCCUUGCUGGCCUGCGUGGGGACCCAGGGUUCUGAGCUCUUCCAGCUGCACAGACCUCAGGCUGCCGCACACCUCCGCUCCACAGCUGGACGAGACCAAAGCCAGCCACCAGGUGUUCCUCGGGCAUGGCGGCUCUUAUGGACGAGAGAUCUAGAAAUUCCUUGGAGGAGAUCUGCCUCAAAGCCUCCAGUGAAUUUGGAUCCUGCCCCACCCCCGCAAAAACAAAAACAAAACCUUCAUUUGCUGCACAGCAUGAAAAAAAGGUAGUUUGAGCCCAGGCAGUGGUAGCGCACGCCUUUAAUCCCAGCCGUAGGGAGGCAGAGGCAGACGAUCUCUGUGAGUUUGAGGCCAGCCUGGUCUGCAGAGCUAGUUCCAAGACAGGCUCCAAAAGCUACAGAGAAACCCUGCCUUGAAAAACCAAACAAAAAAGAUGAAGAACCUGUACAGGAAAAAGCUCUCAAUCCCCUGUAAUUCCAGCUCUGAGGGUUCUGUUAACUUCUUCCAAAUUCUGAGGCCCCUGUGUGCACAUGGUAUUUACACACAGCCACACACACAGAUGCACGCAAAUGAACAUGAAAGUAAAUUUUUUUUUUUUCGAGACAGGGUUUCUUUGUGGUUUUGGAGCCUGUCCUGGAACUAGGUCUUGUAGACCAGGCUGGUCUCGAACUCACAGAGAUCCGCCUGCCUCUGCCUCCCGAGUGCUGGGAUUAAAGGCGUGUGCCACCAUCGCCCGGCUCCUGAAAGUAAAUUUUAAGAAGUA